UGGUCAAGUUAUUAAGGGUGCAGGGCGGAUGCCUUGGCACUAGGAGCCGAUGAAGGACGUGAUAAGCUGCGAUAAGCUUCGGGGAGUUGCACGUAAACUUUGAUCCGAAGAUUUCCGAAUGAGGAAACUCACUUAGAGUAAUGUCUAAGUAUCAUUAAGUGAAUACAUAGCUUAAUGAGGGGAACUCAGGGAACUGAAACAUCUAAGUACCUGAAGGAAGAGAAAGAAAUUCGAUUCCGUAAGUAGCGGCGAGCGAACGCGGAUUAGCCCAAACCAAUAAAGUUUUCUUUAUUGGGGUUGCGGACAUAUCAUAACGAAGAGGUAUCGUAAUUGAAGAGGUUUGGAAAGACCCACCACAGAAGGUAAUAGUCCUGUAUGUUAAACGAGAAGACUUUAGAUAUGAUCCAGAGUACCACGGGACACGUGAAACCCUGUGGGAAGCAGGAGGGACCACCCUCCAAGGCUAAAUACUACCUAGUGACCGAUAGCGUAUAGUACCGUGAGGGAAAGGUGAAAAGAACCCCGGGAGGGGAGUGAAAUAGGACCUGAAACCCUGCACUUACAAGCUGUGGAAGCACAUUUCUUGUGUGACCGCGUACUUUUUGUAGAACGGGCCAACGAGUUACGUUAAGUAGCAAGGUUAAGCACUUAAGGUGUGGAGCCGUAGCGAAAGCGAGUUUUAACUGAGCGUUCAGUUACUUGACGUAGACCCGAAACCGGGCGACCUACCCAUGAGCAGGAUGAAGCGAAAGUAAAAUUUCGUGGAGGUCCGAACCCACGAGCG
rnacentral:rRNA from 1 species